ensembl:misc_RNA Metazoa_SRP Metazoan signal recognition particle RNA
GCUGGGCGCGGUGGCUCACGCCUGUAAUCCCAGCACUUUGGGAGGCCGAGGCAGGCGGAUCACCUGAGGUCAGGAGUUCGAGACCAGCCUGACCAACAUGGAGAAACCCUGUCUCUA